GUGCUCUAGUAGCGUUCUGCUGAGUGAAAUUAGUUUUGUACAAAUGUUAUUACUUUCUAUUAUAAACAUUGUUUUAUACUGUAUGUCAAAGAAGUUUCGGUUAAAUAUUAUAUUUCAUUUUAUUAUUUUACAAGUUGGGAAACACAUAUUUGAACCAAAACAAAAAAAGGAAAUAAGGUUAAGUACAGCUUGGAAAGUGUUUAUUGGAUAGUAUUCAUUAGUAAAUUGUCGUUUUCAACUUUUAUUUUAAUAUAAAUUCAUUUUUGUUAUUUGAUUGAAGUCAUUGUAAUUGAAAAUGUCUGAUGGGGAGGAUGAUUUUAUGUGUGAAGAAGAAGAUUAUGGUUUGGAAUAUUCAGAAGAUUCAAAUUCAGAACCUGAUGUCGAUUUAGAGAAUCAAUACUAUAACAGUAAGUCCUUAAAGGAAGAUGAUCCCAAAGCAGCCUUGCAGAGUUUUCAAAAAGUUUUGGAUUUGGAAGGAGAUAAAGGAGAAUGGGGAUUUAAAGCUCUUAAGCAGAUGAUUAAAAUUAACUUUAAACUUGGUAAUUACAAGGAAAUGAUGACUAGGUAUAAACAGUUACUCACGUACAUAAAGAGUGCUGUAACAAGAAAUCAUUCAGAAAAAUCUAUUAAUUCAAUUUUAGAUUAUAUUAGUACAUCAAAAAAUAUGGAAUUGCUUCAAGACUUUUAUGAAACUACAUUGGAUGCUUUAAAAGAUGCAAAGAAUGAUAGGUUGUGGUUCAAAACCAAUACUAAAUUAGGAAAAUUGUAUUUUGAUAGGUCAGAUUUUAAUAAACUAGCAAAGAUAUUGAAACAACUUCAUCAAAGUUGUCAGACUGAUGAUGGUGAAGAUGAUUUAAAAAAGGGAACUCAAUUAUUAGAAAUAUAUGCAUUAGAAAUUCAAAUGUAUACUGCUCAAAAAAAUAAUAAAAAGUUAAAGACUCUAUAUGAGCAAAGCCUUCAUAUUAAAAGUGCAAUUCCUCAUCCACUUAUAAUGGGUGUUAUACGAGAAUGUGGAGGAAAGAUGCAUUUAAGAGAAGGAGAAUUUGAAAGAGCACAUACUGAUUUUUUUGAAGCAUUUAAAAACUAUGAUGAGUCUGGUUCACCUCGUCGAACUACGUGUUUAAAGUAUUUAGUUCUUGCAAAUAUGUUAAUGAAAUCAGGAAUAAAUCCAUUUGAUUCUCAAGAAGCAAAACCUUAUAAGAAUGAUCCAGAAAUUUUAGCAAUGACAAAUUUGGUUAUCAGUUAUCAAAACAAUGAUAUAAAUCAAUUUGAAUUAAUUUUAAAACAGAAUAGAAAUAAUAUUAUGGAUGAUCCUUUUAUUAGAGAGCAUAUUGAAGACUUAUUACGAAAUAUUAGAACACAAGUUCUUAUAAAAUUGAUAAAACCAUAUACAAGAAUCCAUAUUCCUUUUAUUAGCAAAGAAUUGAAUAUUGAUGCAUCUGAAGUUGAAAGUUUAUUGGCAUCUUGUAUUUUAGAUAAUACAAUUAGAGGUCGCAUUGAUCAGGUGAAUCAAGUUCUUGAAUUAGACAGGAAAUCAGUAUGUGCAGCUCGCUAUAAUGCCUUGGAUAAGUGGACUACACAGUUACAAUCCUUGCAUUUAGCUAUUGUCAAUAAAAUGUCGUAAAAGUGUAGCUGCAAAUAAAACUUAAAUGUUACGAUAAGUACUAAUAGAACAUUCAUUCUUUAUCAUUUUGGUAAAGUAACUGAUAGUAAUAUAUAAAUACAGGUUUUUAGGAGCAAGUUAUUCUAUUUUAGAUCAACAAUCAUACGAAGAAUUGUGAUUCUUAGAUUGAAGAAAGAUGGACAAAUAAAUAUCAAAGUGUUAAAGUUUAUUUCAUGGAAAAACUGAUUAAUUAUUACAAUUUAUGA